AAAGAUAAUCAAAAUAACCCACUAACAUUGCAUCUAAUUGUAUAUUCAAGAUAUAAAAGAGGUGCCAUACAAAUGGAACACUAGGAAUAUGAUAUGUGUGAAAACAUAUAUAUAUAUACACUACUUCUUAAGAUAGUACUGUAGGCAUCCGACAUUCACAACACUGUGUGGUGCACGGUUCUGCCCCCUCUGCUCUGCGAUCCCCAAUACGCGCAGAUCCCGUCUCCUCCGCCAUCAAUGGAAGGUGGCCGAGGAUCUCCUCUGCCCCUCUGCUCCACGAUCCCUAUCAUCUGCGCUGCCAUCAACGCUCCACCCCUGCCGCAAAUCGCCUGCCGCCGCUCGCGAUGCGCUCAGCCCUAACAAAUUCUCUCACAAGAUCUGGCAAAACCCAUCACCUCCGCUCUCCUCCUCUACCAUCGGGAUCCUGGUGGCCAACGUCGUCCUCGUCGGUGAGAUGACCUCCAAACUCCUCCAAACCUCGCGCUCCAUCGAUGACCGGAGGCCUCCGCCCCUUUGGGAUCUCCUUAUUCACAAGGCGUCGAGGCCGUCGUCGACCACGUCAUGCCGCUACGCUAGGAGGAGACGCCGACCAACGUCGGCUUCAUGGUGGCCUAAGCGUGUAGUGCUGAUCUGCUCCGCCGUUUCGCCCGCCUCCCUCCCCAAAGCUGCUUCUAGGAUACUGCGAUGGAGGCGAUCAGCAACACCAGGUUAGCCCUCGGGAUCCUGGUGGCCGACAGCGUGGUCCUCGUCGGCGAGAAGGUGACCUCCAAGCUCUUCCAGAUCUCGCGCUCCACUGACGUCCGGAGGCCUCCGCCCCUUUGGGAUCUCCUUCUUAUUCACAAGGUGGGACAAGCACCACGACUUCCAACUCUACUUAAGCGACCCAUCUGGCAACUACGGUGGAGGGAAGGUUGUCGUUGUUGGGGCCAACAGCCAGUGUGCACAAGGGGUAACGGAGUCGUGUAGCUUCUGGUGCCCGUAGAGGAAAGGUGAGGCGAGGUGCUCGCCAUGCGCCUCAAGGUGGGCGACCUCACGUGGCCAUAUACGCCAAUUCGGAGAACGAAUGAGGUCGCAAAGAAAGGGUUCAAUAACCAGACCAAGGUCUCUCUUAGCCGUCCUCAAUGCGCUACGCAGUCACGGAAUCAACCUCCACAUCAAUGAUGAUGGCGACCAUAGGCCACACGUCUGAAACAACCAUCAGUUCACGAGAUUGUUUCUCUAUAAAACAAAAGUACUGUAUGAAAUUUGAGCACGUUGAUUGUUGCGUGCUGUUUUAUGGCCUCACCCUUUAAUUGAACACAAGUAGUGUCUGACUUUUAUUUGCUUCACUGUAAUAUAUAACAUAUAUUUGUCUAUAAAAAGUCUGGAUUCUCGAUGAUUUUUAGUGAAUUCAAAAGAGAAUUCCAUUAUUUCCUUCUGUUUGUGUCUGAAUUGGAGUGACAACAUUGUGCUCUCAACUUUUUUCAUGAAUAAUCAAUCUUGGGCUAUUGCCAUUUAAAUGAAAGAAAAUGCAUUUAUGUUGUUUAAAUUCUUGCAGAUCAACUUUAUGCAGAGCUUAUGGAACCUGAGAAGCACAUGCAGAUAUUCUCUUGUAGGAAAAUGAGGUAGCGAGAUGUUACUUGGAGAAAUGGUAUCUAAAUUUGUGUUGCUUUCUGUUUUGAGUUCUGACCUUUCAACUUGCAGAUGCCAAACAUACUAAACAAGUGUGAGGGAAAUACUACAGACAUUUACGAAUGCCACACAUUUUUGCUAAUACUGAUUCCUAUCAUAUUACAAGUAUACUCUACUUAUAUUUCCUUUAUUUUUAGCUUUGGAGUUCAAUUGUAUUUUUUUGCAAAAUAUAAGGAAUUUCAGUUCAGAUUAUACACUUUUCAU